GAUGAACGCUGGCGGCGUGCCUAAUACAUGCAAGUCGAACGAAACUUCUUUAUCACCGAGUGCUUGCACUCACCGAUAAAGUGUUGAGUGGCGAACGGGUGAGUAACACGUGGGCAACCUGCCCAAAAGAGGGGGAUAACACUUGGAAACAGGUGCUAAUACCGCAUAACCAUAGUUACCGCAUGGUAACUAUGUAAAAGGUGGCUAUACUACCGCUUUUGGAUGGGCCCGCGGCGCAUUAGCUAGUUGGUAGGGUAAAGGCUUACCAAGGCAAUGAUGCGUAGCCGAAUUGAGAGGUUGAUCGGCCACAUUGGGACUGAGACACGGCCCAAACUCCUACGGGAGGCAGCAGUAGGGAAUCUUCCACAAUGGGCGAAAGCCUGAUGGAGCAACGCCGCGUGGGUGAAGAAGGUCUUCGGAUCGUAAAACCCUGUUGUUAGAGAAGAAAGUGCGUGAGAGUAACUGUUCACGUUUCGACGGUAUCUAACCAGAAAGCCACGGCUAACUACGUG
rnacentral:rRNA from 1 species